rnacentral:ncRNA from 1 species
AUUCUGGUUGAUCCUACCAGUGAUAUACGCUCGUCUCAAAGGUUAAGCCAUGCAUGUCUAAGUACAAGCUUCCUAGAAAGUGAAACCGCAUAAGGCUCAGUAUAACAGCUAUAAUUUACAAGAUCCUCAUCCAAACAGUUACUUGGAUAACUGUGGAAAAGCCAGAGCUAAUACAUGCAUUAUGCCGGGACUGUUGGCCUCCGGGUCGGCGGAACUGGUGCACUUAUUAGUUAAACCAAUCGCCUCCGGGCGCUUUGAGUUGAAAUCUGGAUAAGGAUGCCGAUCGUACGGUCGCUUGCGACUGACGACAGAUCUUUCAAAUGUCUGCCCUAUCAACUAUUGAUGGUAGUGUAGAGGACUACCAUGGUUGCGACGGGUAACGGGGAAUCAGGGUUCGAUUCCGGAGAGGGAGCCUGAGAAAUGGCUACCACAUCCAAGGAAGGCAGCAGGCGCGUAAAUUACCCAAUCCCGGCACGGGGAGGUAGUGACGAGAAAUAACAAUAUGGACCUCUCUAACGAUGGUCCAUAAUUGGAAUGAGUUGAGCAUAAAUCCUUUUGCAAGGAUCAAGUGGAGGGCAAGUCUGGUGCCAGCAGCCGCGGUAAUUCCAGCUCCCACUAGCCGUAUAUUAAAGUUGUUGCGGUUAAAACGUUCGAAGUUGAUACCCCCGUCCAGACUCGCGUCCGUCGCGGGCGCCCGGCCUCUCGGUUGGGACCGUCCGUGUACGCGCUCGCGGCUGCGACUCACAAUGGUGUACCUGGGCGUUCUACUCCGUGACGGGUCAGGACUUGUCGCCGCGACCUCGUCGGUCAAGGUCUUGUUCGACCCAGCUUCAUGGUGCCCGGGAACUCUCGUUUACCUUGAACAAAUUAGAGUGCUCAAAGCAGGCUAGUUCAAAGCGUCCGGUCCUCCGGGGCCGGCGUUGGCCGAGAAUAAUUUUGCAUGGAAUAAUGGAACAUGACCUCGGUCUGAGUGGUUUCGUUGGUUUGUAAUAGACCAAGAGGUAAUGAUUAACAGAAGUAGUCGGGGGCAUUGGUAUUACGGCGCGAGAGGUGAAAUUCGUAGACCGUCGUAGGACCCAC